rnacentral:rRNA from 1 species
CACGUAGGGGGCGAGCGUUGUCCGGAUUUAUUGGGCGUAAAGAGCUCGUAGGCGGCUCAGUAAGUCGGGUGUGAAAACUCCAGGCUCAACCUGGAGACGCCACCUGAUACUGCUGUGGCUAGAGUUCGGUAGGGGAGACUGGAAUUCCUGGUGUAGCGGUGAAAUGCGCAGAUAUCAGGAGGAACACCGGUGGCGAAGGCGGGUCUCUGGGCCGAUACUGACGCUGAGGAGCGAAAGCGUGGGGAGCGAACAGG